rnacentral:tRNA from 1 species
GCCCCCAUCGUCUAGCGGCCUAGGAUUCCGCCCUUUCAAGGCGGCGGCACGGGUUCGAAUCCCGUUGGGGGCAC